rnacentral:rRNA from 1 species
AUACGGGGGGUGCAAGCGUUAAUCGGAAUUACUGGGCGUAAAGCGCGCGUAGGCGGCUUGAUAAGUUGGAUGUGAAAGCCCCGGGCUCAACCUGGGAACUGCAUUCAAAACUGUCUGGCUAGAGUAUGGUAGAGGGAAGUGGAAUUCCGGUGUAGCGGUGAAAUGCGUAGAUAUCGGAAGGAACACCAGUGGCGAAGGCGACUUCCUGGGCCAAUACUGACGCUGAGGUGCGAAAGCGUGGGGAGCAAACAGGAUUAGAAACCCCGGUAGUCC